CGGGCUGAGGCUGAUCCCGGGAAUUCCCUUGAGGGAUCCUGGGCUGAGGCUGAUCCUGGGAAUUCCCCUGAGGGAUCCUGGGCUGAGGCUUUUCCCGGGAAUUCCCGGGAAUUCCCUCCCCAGGUUGUGGAUCUGCUCAACCAGGCGGCUCUGAUCGGGAACGAGGGGAAAAUCAACAUCCUCAAACAGGUGCAGGAGCUGAUCAUCAACAAGGAUCCGACUCUGCUGGACAACUUCCUGGAUGAAAUCAUCGCCUUCCAGGCCGACAAAUCCAUCGAGGUUCGGAAGUUCGUGGUGGGAUUCAUCGAGGAGGCCUGGUGAGGGUCUGG